rnacentral:lncRNA from 8 species
CUUUAAAAAAUUCUUUAAGUCUGGAAGUUGCUUUUUAUAAGUUCGUGGUGCUCCAUGAAAGAUGACUGGAGAGAGGUAGACAGAACUGAGGGUUUUCUGUCAUACACAGAGCUAGUUUAAACGUGUCUCUAUAAUGUAAUGUCUGACACACACACACACACACACACACACACACACACACACACACACACACACACACACACACACACACACACACACAACAUGUUUUGGGACAUGUGGCCCACCACAGUAAACAGUAAGACAAUACUCUCUGCAGCAUAUCAUGGAGUUCUGUGAAUGACUGAAUGAACAAGGAGCGUUGAGAUUUUCAUUCUCAAUGGUUUCUCAUGGGUCCCUGUGACCCUGCAUUUGCAUAAGAUUGGAUUCUCUUGAAUUUUGAAGUGUAAUCAGAUGAGUGUAAUCAAACUGCCCAGUUCCCUAAAGAAAAUACAGACUUACUUUUAACUAAAAUAAAUUGUAAGCAAUCUGUGCACCUUUGUUGAAUACUGUAAAUUGAUUUGAGACAUUUUGGAUUAAAUAGAUUUUUAAUUUGAUAUUGAUGGUCUCUGAUUGCACACUUUCUGACUGACUCAGCAUAAUAAGCUACAAAUCAGAGCAAGCAACGUAUUCCAGAAGCCAUGUAUAGUACCAGUCAAAGGUUUGGCGUGUGCAAAGCUGUCACCAAGACUACUUUGAAGAAUCUCAAAUAAAAAAUAUAUAUUGAUUUGUUUAACACUUUUUGGUUAAUACAUGAUUCCAUAUGUGUUAUUUUAUAGUUUUGACAUCUUCACUAUUAUUCUACAAUGUAGAAAAUAGUAAAAAUAAAGAAAAACCCUUGAAUGAGUAGGUGUGUCCAAACUUUUGACUGGCACUGUAUCUGAGGAAGGGAAAGUGAAAGGCCAAGGCAGGACACAGAGGAAGAGCCAGGAUGGCCAACAACAGUCUGCUUUCAUUAAGAACAGUAGAGCACCCAAACAGAGUCGGCUCUGGUGGGUCACAUUGUGUUGGGAGAAGGUUCAAAGACAUGUUAUUGAUAACAAUAAAAAGUUGUCUCUGUGCAGUGUUGAUAAAUGGAGGUAAAAGUCCUAGAGCCAGAGCAGGAAUGAGCUUUCUUCCCAGCCAUUCCCAGGCGUUCUAUAGUUGCUAUGGUGCCAAGCGGCAGCCUAGGCAGAGAAAUCAAGUAAGUUCUGUACAUAUUUUAUCAUAUUUAAUUGUUUUUAUGUAAAUAUUUGUACACACUUUUGUUUUUCAAUAGCUAAAUGAGUGAGGAUCAAGUCUUGAUAUCAUGAAUUGGACUCCUGCCCAUCAAUUGAUAAAAAUCAGCAUUGUCAACAAUCUAGCUAAUGCUAGCUAGCAGGUGUGUGUUUUCAUUUAAAUUACACCUACUGACUUUGGGUUGUUUUCCCAACAACAGCGACCCAAGAGGAAGCUAUGUAAGUAGAGUUGGCAGUGUGCCAGGGGUUUCAUUGCUCAGGAGGAUACUUCUGAAGUAAGGACUGAGUGAGCUGUACUCUUUGGGGAGCAAACUUCACCACAGAGUCUCAAUAUAGGGAAGACAGCAGAGAGGCUUGGAUGACAUGGAGCUGCCUGCCUGCCUGCCUGCCUGCCUGCCUGCCUGCCUGCCUGCCUGCCUGCCUGCCUGCCUGCCUGCCUGCCUGCCUGCCACCACCUCCGACCACCAUCUCUGCUGACCAUCUACCUAUGAGCUUCCAGAUCCUCUCAUGACCGUGGCUGCCCAUCUGGAAGCUUCAAGAAGUACUCAGACAGACUUGAUCUAGCUGAUCUAGCUACUGUUGUAGCCUGUAUUUUCCUCAACAUUUAAACAUUUCGAUUUUAUGGGAACGUCUUAAUAAUCUAAAUGUGUUUCUUGUAUGUGUUACUGCAAUUCAGCUUUAAGCUGCCAUAGUACACAUGAAAGGAAAUUCAAAUAUACCAUUAUCAUCAUCAUUCCUUGCUUGGAAAACAUAUGUUGUUUUAAUAACAAUAAAAUCUUACUUCUGAUCUUUAUGUAAUUAUCCAGAUAAGUUCACAAAUGUACUAUGGCCAAGAUUCAAAUAAAGGUGUGUUGUGGAUGCACUGUCUACAAUUGGUCCCAGGCCUCCCACAGUGAAAAACCUGAAAUUCACUACUUUCAUGCAAUUCAGCUUUAAGCUGCCAUAGUACACAUGAAAGGAAAUGAAAAUAUACCAUUAUCAUCAUCAUUUCUGAGUCAAAUUGCAACCCAAAAUCUACUGCUCAGAUUUAAAAAAAAAUACAUUACUUAAAAAAUGUAAGCCUGUGCGAAAUUAACUUUUCAAAACAGUACUGUAGUAAUGAGGAUUGUGCAGUAGGCUCAAAACAUUAUCACCACAUAUUGUCUUUGCUUGAAUUGACCUACCAAUGCCUUCUUGUUCUUCUCACACCAUUUCCAAAUGAUAUUUAAAAACCUGAGAUAGGACCUACACUAUAUGAUCACACUAGUCAUAGAUUGUUGUAUUACAUGUGAGGCACAACUGAGUGAGAAAACAUUUAAAUGAUUUUUGUAUUGUUUUACUGGGCUGAUGGUCCCUGUAUCUGAUGGUCAGCCUCAGUGGAGGGAGGGAGAGAGCAGCAGAUGGUCUGACUCUCACCGUCUCUACACUCUCCCUUCCUCCGCUGAGUCUGACCAAAGAGGGGACACUGUCUUCCAGCUGACGGCAAAACUCGAGUCGCACCUCAUUAUUUCUGCCUCAUGCACAAAUUGAUGCUUUUAUUCCUAUGACCAGAGAAAGUGAACUAUUCCUGGAUAUUAAAGGGAUACUCCAGGAUAUUGGAAUUGGAGCCCUUAUCUACUUCCCCAGAUUCAGAUGAACUCAUGGAUACCAUUGUUAUGUCUCUGUGUGCAGUUUGAAGGAUGUUGCUAACUAGCAUUAGCGCAAUCGCUAACUAGUGUUAACUCAAUGACUAUGGUAACUGCUAGCAUGCAAUUAGAUACCAUAGACUUCAAGUCAUUGCGCUAACGCUAGCUAACAUUGGCUCAGGAAACUACCUCUCACUUAUUGCAUGCUGGAUGCAGCUACAUACAAAUGGUAUCUGUGAGUAUAUCUGACUCUGGGGAACUACAUAAAGACUUAAUUGUCAAAUGAAGAAGUAGCCCUUUUAAAAAGACACAAGCUGUUAAUAAUAACAACUCAAGCCUUUCAAUACACUUCACUACUCAUUCAUUGCAGCUGCAGUGCUGGUGGAAGAGUGAGUGGAAGUAGUUUUAUGGCAUAUAAAAGUGUUGAAUAAAGUGUUGACAGUGCUGAAAAAAAUCUUAAACAAAUUCUUUGCUGUAUUCGUUGGCAGUAUCUCUCGAAUCAUGGUUUCAAAAGUUUUGAAA